UACGUAGGGUGCAAGCGUUGUCCGGAAUUACUGGGCGUAAAGGGCUCGUAGGUGGCCAACUAAGUCAGACGUGAAAUCCCUCGGCUUAACUGGGGAACUGCGUCUGAUACUGGUUGGCUUGAGUGCAGGAGAGGAAUGCGGAAUUCCAGGUGUAGCGGUGAAAUGCGUAGAUAUCUGGAGGAACACCGGUGGCGAAGGCGGCGUUCUGGACUGUCUCUGACACUGAAGAACGAAAGCCAGGGGAGCAAACGGG
rnacentral:rRNA from 1 species